rnacentral:lncRNA from 1 species
GUGAUUACUUGCAGUCUGAUUUCAGGAACCUUUCAUGGACUUGUUGAAAGCAUUCAAAUCCCUCUGCUAAUCACGUUCACUGUAUUUUACCUGGCCUGUUUUAAAGUAUUGUUUUAUUGUUGUUUAAUGUUGCUGUUACAGUGUUGUUAGAUUUCUCGGCUGUACUGGAUCUUUGAAAGCUUACAGGAUGAAUUGCUAGGUUUCCAGUCUUUAUCUCCCCUUGGAUCUCACCAUCUGUUCCUAUUUGGCAGUGCAGGUAAAUGAAUUUUUUUUCAACUUCCUUUCAUUUGUCCUGUUUCCUGCAGAUAUUUAGCUUGUCUGUUUCCUCUUUCUCCCUUCAUAUAUCAUCAAGAAGGAUUUGGUGGCUGUUACUGAAGUUGAUGAAUCUGACUGAAAUUUCUGUUCUGGGUUGCGUGUUACAGGCGUUGCUAGAGGAGCUUUUGUGGUCAGUCUCAGAUGGAAUGGAAUCCUUCACUCUUUGUAACUUCUGGAUUUCAAAAUCCUAAAAAUUUAAAGGGCACUGAACAAAUCUGGCCAACUUCAAGGUAUGUUCUUCAUGGGCAAUACAUAUUAGCUUCCCUAGGAUAUCUAGGAACUGAUGGUUGACCUGGAUACUUAGUAGUGGGAUCCAGAGUUCCACUGGUUCUUAAGAGAGAAGGAGUCUGGAAGAAAAUGUAAGCGUUUCCAUCAGUUCACUGGGAACUGGAAUUGGUUUCUUUGCUUUGAAAGGAGCCCUUCAGAAUGGCAGUCAAAAUAUAAGGAAUUUCUUAUAACAUCAGAAAAAAAACAACAAAUUUUGAAAAGGUAAUGUCAGCAUUUUAUUUUAAUGGGCAUCAUACAUAUUUCAGGAUUUAUUUAUUUCCUUGUUUUGUAUUUAUCUUGAUCUCCUUGAAAAAAUGCUGGACUUUCCCCUUGGCUAUCCUGAUAUAAAAAUACCAGUUUGAUCCUUUGCCUCACUGGAAGAUGAAAACAGUAUUUGGCCUAGAUAGUAUUAGAGGAAUGUUUCUGACAAAAGGUAGCAGAUAUUAAAAAACUAAAAUCCAAGCACGUCUGCAUAUCCAUACAAUUAUACAUUUCUGGGCUUGUCUGCUACAUGGUGGGGAAGAAAUUGUUGCCAGCUUUUCAAAGUAAAGGAAAAAAUUGAACAACAUGACUAUUUAGCUAUGCAGUCCACUUAAAAUUCCUGUUUCAAAUGGACUUGGAUACAAAUCUGAGCAGAAGAUCAUAGAAUCCAUGGAACCAUAACAGAAUCCUAUUACUCAUACAACAUGAAAAAUUUCUAUUGCUGCUAGAGACAAGGCUGCCAAAAAUUCUGCAGUAAUGCCCUGGUGAAUGCAAGAAUGUUUCAAUAUGUUCAUAGGAUUGCAAUUCAAAGACAAGAGGCAAUUGCUGCAUGCUCCUAAAUAGCUAUCAAUUGACAGAUACACUUAGUUGGUUAAUUAAUUUUUGAUGAAAGACCUACUCAAAAGACUAAAUUCAAAAUGUAAGAACUUGUGCUUGUUUAAAA